AGCCCACUUUUUAUUAUGCCCAGUCUUUUGGGCCUUGGCUCAAAAAGAGGAAGUGCGAUUGGACCAACCAGUAUUGAAGACUCUCUUCUGUUUUCCCUUCUUCCUGUGUUUAGGUGUGUAUCAUCGGAGAGUGAAGAUUCAGUUUUCGAUUUUCCGAUUCGCUUAAGUGUGCGAGUGAGGAACAUGGACGGUGCCGAAUUGCCGAACAUAAAGAAAUGGAUCGUGAUGUAUCCUGUUUACAUAAAUUCCAAGAAAACGAUGGCCGAAGGAAGACGCAUUGGUCUCGCGAAAGCAUGCGAAAACCCUACUUGCGCUGAAAUUGGUGAUUGCUGCAGCUAUCUUAAACUUCCUUUUGCAAUUGAGAUAGACAAGGCGUACCCUCGUGAUUUCAUGCAAAGAGGGCGCGUGAGGGUGUUGCUGAAAAAGGAGGAUGGGACUCUGUUUAAUUCCUCCAUUUCAUCAAGUAAGAUGUUAUUGUCUGUCAAAUUAGAUUUAUACGUUUAUUUUUUGUAUAUACACCUGAAUCGAUGUUUUACUUGGAUAGGAAUGUAGUCAAUGUACAGUUGUUAGUGUCUUGAUUGCCAGAUUAGGUUUUUCUUGCUGAGGAUAGGAAUGUUUUUGUUGUUGAAGCCUAGCUAGAAGGUUUCUGUAAUGUACGAUUGUCAGUGUAUGAUUCCCAGGUUUUGAUGUCUUUUCGCAACUGUGAUGUUGGCAUUCACUUGCCGAUUGAGUUUGAACUGUGUUAGAACCCAAAACAAAUUGUCAGGCCCCAAAGAGCAAUUGGUCCAACAAUUGUCACAUGGACCCAAGGUCUGGAAGGUUUACACUAGGAGCUGGGGUGCUAUGCUGGUGGAGAGAGAAAGGAGAGUAACAGUUUCGGGGGU